rnacentral:lncRNA from 1 species
ACAACCUGUCUCAUAGAUACCAAUGCGUUGUUCUUGACUUCCAUUGAAACAGAAAACAUUAGGGAGUGGGAUGUUUCACUUCCUCUUCCAUCUCUGCUUGAGACUCCAGAAUGCUGAGUCACAAUGACAAGCCAGAAAUACAGCCAGUGCAUAGCCUGAGUCGGUCCACAUAGAACACACUAGAGGUUAGGACAGGAAUAAGAGUGGGAAGGAGGGAGAGAAAUAGGAACAUCUCCCCCACACAUUCUGAAAUUGCAUUUUUGGCUGUUUAGUGUUUAUCCCCGAAAAAUAUACAUUUUAGCUAAAUACAUUUAAUUACAGUGAAAAUUCCUUGUCUUAGUUCAUUUAGGAUCACCACUUUAUUUUAAGAAUGUGAAAUGUCAUAGAUUUCAGCUUAUUCCCAGUGGGUCAGAAGUUUACACUCAGAAUUUUGUAGCAUUGCCUUUAAAUUGUUUAACUUGGGUCAAACGUUUCAGUUAGCCUUCUACAAGCUUCCCACAAUAAGUUGGGUGAAUUUUAUAGUAAGGCUGUCAUAUUUCCCAGUCCCUUAUAGGCAUAUGGCUCAAAAUAUGGAAGAAUGCAAAUAGACUCCUCAAGUAUUAAUGAGCAGUAGUGUGUCAUUUAAAUAUACUGAUAGCAAAUAUUGUCCAUCAACCUGCAACCCUGGGACAACCUGUGGGUCAUAACAGCUUGCUAGUUUAUUUGCGCACAGGUUCGAAUGACCUGACUUUUAAAAUGCUCAGGUUAAAGGCUACAGCGACUUGUGAAGUCGGUUACCCAUGUCACAGUUAAUGACCUAGCUGUUAUGGGACCUGAACAGACGUUGCACCAUUACAAGUUAUGUAAUAGCCCUUAUAAAGCUCAUGUCAACCUUCUAUGACCCUCAGUCACUGUAGUAGGCUUACAAUUGUCAGUAUUUAGCAUUUCUAUGGAGAAAUGAUUGCACAGAUGGCAAUUGGACAAAAACAUGUAUCGUCAGCCUCAUGUGUCAUUCAUACACAGUAACAAACAGUGAAUCCAGCUCAAAAAAGGUUUUAUUCUUCAGCUUGAAAAUGAGAAGUCACACCUAGUGAAGAGGAUCCUUGCGUUUCAGGUAUUGAAAUGCUCAGUAAGACAGCGCAAUAGGACAAAAAUCAGCAACAACUCGAUUCUUUUACAAUGUACCUCCCCUCCAAUAACAAAUUUGUCAACAUUACAGAUGUUAUGCCCUCCCCUCCUUAUAAAUGCAAAGCCAGCAGAAUAGAGCAGAAAGACCAGGAGUCCUGGUCUGAGGCUGGAUGCCGUAGCCUGGGGAUGGAAGUGGUUUAGCUCUGGCCUCCCAGGGUGUGCUUGUCAAACAGGUACUCUGCCAUCUUGUUUUUGACAGCAUCCAUCUUGGUGAGGUUGGUGAUGUGGUCACCCAGCUUCUUAAUGGCCUCCACCUGCUCAUUCAGGUAAUGGGUCUCCAGGAAGUCACACAGCUAAAGAGGGAAAACACAGGUCAGACAAGAGAAUAACUACAGACUAUUGUAGAUACAGUAACACACAAGAGCCUGGUGGUAAUGGCAUAAGGGCAGACAGACAACUCAAUGAAGUGUUUGCAGAUGUUUAACUCCUGCAUUGUUUGUAUAGUGUGCAUCUGUGGACUAUUGUGUGCAUGUGAAGAAGGUCACAAUCCUGUGUCAUUAGUUAUCAGAGCUACAACAACCUGAUCAUCUCCUGGGACAGUACCUGGAUUCUUUGUGAUAUAUACAUGUGAUGUGCAGUUCCACUAUAACUUACAUGGGGGUCAACCUUGUCAGAGGCAAUCUUGUGCAGAUUUUCUUUUAUAUCAAAAUAAAGUGUAGAAAAAUAAAGUUCCUUCGACUAUUUUGCUAUUACAGUUAAAGUUAGUGUUACCUUAUCAAUCCGGAAUGUUCUAUAAUGCAGGACGAAGGCAGAGGAGUUCCGUUCAAUCACUGUUGAAGCAAGAACUUCUUCAUGCGUCUUCUCAGACUUGUGAAGUGGAAGGAGCCUUGUUCCCUCUAUUUAUUGUUCCGAACGGAACGCGUCAGUGAAAUCCACCCUCACAGAGCGUAGCCAAUCACCUUUAGAAUUUCAACAGGAACUAGGCGGAUCAUUUGACGACGAGCCCACUCAUACACCUCAUGACCUAAAGCUAAGAUUAUUUAUUAUAUUAACAAGAGAGACGAGUGACAACUCUAACAAUGGAAAUACAUGUGUUCAACGAUUGAAGACAGGCAAGAUUCUAACCAAUGAGAGGGCAGGAACGCGUGUAAACUACACACACAACUAAACGUCGUUUUUCUCAAAGUUACCGGAAUGCCACGUGCAUCCACAUAUAUCAGUACAUUUGUAAAAGCUUAAACAUUACGAAACGUCUAUUCGAUCAAAAUCCUCAAGUAAUUUGAAAAAAUGGGCUUAUCUCACGCGGACAGAUUUUGGGCGGAGUAAAUGCUCGACCUGGACCGCUUCAC